UACGAAGGGGGCUAGCGUUGCUCGGAAUUACUGGGCGUAAAGGGCGCGUAGGCGGAUAGUUUAGUCAGAGGUGAAAGUCCAGGGCUCAACCCUGGAAUGCCGGUGGAAACUGUCGAGCUAGAGUCCGGAAGAGGCGAGUGGAAUUCCUGGUGUAGCGGUGAAAUGCGCAGAUAUCAGGAGGAACACCAAUGGCGAAGGCAGCUCGCUGGGACGGUACUGACGCUGAGACGCGAAAGCGUGGGGAGCGAACAGG
rnacentral:rRNA from 1 species